rnacentral:rRNA from 1 species
UACGUAGGUGGCGAGCGUUGUCCGGAAUUACUGGGUGUAAAGCGCGUGUAGGCGGGAGGCCAAGUCUGUGGUGAAAUCGCUCGGCUUAACUGGGCGGGGUCCAUGGAAACUGGUCACCUGGAGGUCGGUAGAGGCAAGUGGAAUUCCCGGUGUAGCGGUGAAAUGCGCAGAUAUCGGGAAGAACACCCGUGGCGAAGGCGGCUCUCUGGGACGGUACUGACGCUGAGACGCGAAAGCGUGGGGAGCGAACAGG